UACGAAGGGGGCUAGCGUUGUUCGGAAUUACUGGGCGUAAAGCGCGCGCAGGCGGUCUUCCAAGUCAGUGGUGAAAGCCCGGAGCUCAACUCCGGAACUGCCAUUGAAACUGUAAGACUUGAGGAUGAGAGAGGUGAGUGGAAUUCCCAGUGUAGAGGUGAAAUUCGUAGAUAUUCGCAAGAACACCAGUGGCGAAGGCGGCUCACUGGCCCGGUACUGACGCUGAGGUGCGAAAGCGUGGGGAGCAAACAGG
rnacentral:rRNA from 1 species